rnacentral:rRNA from 1 species
ACACGACUACAUUAGAUACCCGGGUAGUCCUAGCCGUAAACGAUACUCGCUAGGUGUCGGCCACGGUGCGACCGUUGUCGGUGCCGUAGGGAAGCCGUGAAGCAAGCCACCUGGGAAGUACGGCCGCAAGGCUGAAACUUAAAGGAAUUGGCGGGGGAGCACCACAACGGGUGGAGCUUGCGGUCUAAUUGGAUUCAACGCCGGAAAUCUUACCGGGACCGACAGCAACAUGAAGGCCAGGCUGAAGACUUUGCCGGAUUAGCUG